AUUGAACGCUGGCGGCAGGCCUAACACAUGCAAGUCGAACGGUAACAGGAAGAGGCUUGCUUCUUUGCUGACGCGUGGCGGACGGGUGAGUGAUGUCUGGGAAACUGCCUGUUGGAGGGGGGUAACUACUGGAAACGGUAGCUAAUACCGCAUAACGUCGCAAGACCAAAGAGGGGGACCUUUGGGCCUCUUGCCAUCGGAUGUGCCCAGAUGGGAUUAGCUAGUAGGUGGGGUAACGGCUCACCUAGGCGACGAUCCCUAGCUGGUCUGAGAGGAUGACCAGCCACACUGGAACUGAGACACGGUCCAGACUCCUACGGGAGGCAGCAGUGGGGAAUAUUGCACAAUGGGCGCAAGCCUGAUGCAGCCAUGUCGCGUGUGUGAAGAAGGCCUUCGGGUUGUAAAGUACUUUCAGCGGGGAGGAAAGGAGUAAAGUUAAUACCUCGGCGUAUUGACGGUACCCGCAGAAGAAGCACCGGCUAACUCCGUG
rnacentral:rRNA from 1 species